rnacentral:rRNA from 1 species
UCAGGAAUCUUGGGCAAUGGGGGAAACCCUGACCCAGCCACCCUGUGUGAGGGAUGAAGGCCUUCGGGUCGUAAACCUCUGUCAGAGGGGACGAAUCCGGUAUGGGUGAACAAUCCAUGCCGUUGACAGUACUCUCAGAGGAAGCGCCGGCUAACUACGUGCCAGCAGCCGCGGUAAAACGUAGGGCGCGAGCGUUGCGCGGAAUUAUUGGGCGUAAAGGGUGUGUAGGCGGCCGAGUCUGUCAAAGAUGAAAUCCCGAGGCUCAACUUCGGAAUGGUCUUUGAAACUGCUCGGCUUGAGGAUAGUGGAGGAGGAUGGAAUUCCCGGUGGAGCGGUGAAAUGCGUAGAUAUCGGGAGGAACACCCGAGGCGUAAGCGAUUCUCUAAGCUAUUCCUGACGCUGAGACACGAAAGCUAGGGGAGCGAACGGGAUUAGAUACCCCGGUAGUCCUAGCCGUAAACGAUGUGGACUUGGCGUUGGUGGGGUAAAAUCCAUCAGUGCCGGAGCUAGCGCGGUAAGUCCACCGCCUGGGGACUACGGCCGCAAGGUUA